rnacentral:tRNA from 1 species
GGGGCUGUAGCUCAGUGUAGAGCACUUGCCUCACAUGCAUGAGGCACUGUGUUUGAUCAUUAGCCCCA